UGGGGAAUCUUCCGCAAUGGACGAAAGUCUGACGGAGCAACGCCGCGUGAGUGAUGACGGCCUUCGGGUUGUAAAGCUCUGUUAAACGGGACGAAUGGUUCUUGUGCGAAUAGUGCGAGGAUUUGACGGUACCGGAAUAGAAAGCCACGGCUAACUACGUGCCAGCAGCAGCGGUAAUACGUAGGUGGCAAGCGUUGUCCGGAAUUAUUGGGCGUAAAGCGCGCGCAGGCGGAUUGGUCAGUCUGUCUUAAAAGUUCGGGGCUUAACCCCGUGAUGGGAUGGAAACUGCAAAUCUAGAGUAUCGGAGAGGACAGUGGACUUCCUAGUGUAGCGGUGAAAUGCGUAGAUAUUAGGAAGAACACCAGUGGCGAAGGCGACUUUCUGGACGAAAACUGACGCUGAGGCGAGAAAGCCAGGGGAGCGAACGGG
rnacentral:rRNA from 1 species